CUUUAAUUAUGUUCAAUUUGUAGCAAUGAAAGUAAAUCCUGCAUAUCAGAUAUUUAUAUUAUGAUUCAUAACAAUAGCAAAAUUACUGUUAUGGAAUAGCAAUGAAAAUAAUUUCAUGGUUGCGGGUCACCACAAUAUGAGGAAUUGUAUUAAAGGGUCAUGCCAUUAGGAAAGUUGAGAAUCACUGUUUUAGAUAUAUACAAUCCAAAUAACCUAACUAGCCAAAACUCCCCUAGUUAUUGAUUUUUGAAUUAAAUGCCAAAUUAAUAACUAUUAAUUAAUUUAUGUUAUUGUUCCACUGUCUAUUGGAUUAGGUGUUGGCAAAUUUUUGAGACAGAAGAGCCAGACCUAUCCCUGACAAAAAUUUAAAAAUUAUUCAAG
rnacentral:lncRNA from 1 species